UCCAGACUCCUACGGGAGGCAGCAGUGAGGAAUAUUGGUCAAUGGUCGGGAGACUGAACCAGCCAAGCCGCGUGAGGGAUGAAGGUACAGAGUAUCGUAAACCUCUUUUGUCAGGGAACAAAGGCGGGGACGCGUCCCCGGAUGAGUGUACCUGAAGAAAAAGCAUCGGCUAACUCCGUGCCAGCAGCCGCGGUAAUACGGAGGAUGCGAGCGUUAUCCGGAUUUAUUGGGUUUAAAGGGUGCGCAGGCGGAGGUGCAAGUCAGCGGUCAAAUUGCGGGGCUCAACCCCGUACUGCCGUUGAAACUGCAUCCCUUGAGUGCGCGAGAAGUAUGCGGAAUGCGUGGUGUAGCGGUGAAAUGCAUAGAUAUCGCGCAGAACCCCGAUUGCGAAGGCAGCGUGCCGUGCCGCCACUGACGCUGAGGCACGAAAGCGCGGGGAUCGAACAGGAUUAGAUACCCUGGUAGC
rnacentral:rRNA from 1 species